UUGCUUUGGAAACACAUAUAAUAAAAUUGGAAUGCUACAGAGAUUAGCAUGGCACUUGAGCAUGGAUGACAUGGAAAGUUGUGAAGCAUUCCAUAUUUUU
rnacentral:snRNA from 1 species